rnacentral:tRNA from 1 species
AGGAAUGUAGCUCAGUAGUAGAGUGCUUGCCUAGCAUGCAUGAGGCCCUGGGUUCCAGUCCCAACACUG